CCUACGGGAGGCUGCAGUGAGGAAUAUUGGUCAAUGGGCGCUAGCCUGAACCAGCCAAGUAGCGUGAAGGAUGACUGCCCUAUGGGUUGUAAACUUCUUUUAUAUGGGAAUAAAGUGCAUUAUGUAUACUGCUUUGCAUGUACCUUAUGAAUAAGAAUCGGCUAACUCCUUGCCAGCAGCCGCGGUAAUACGGAGGAUCCGAUCGUUAUCCGGAUUUAGUGUGUUUAAAGGGAGCGUAGGCGGGUUGUUAAGUCAGUUGUGAAAGUUUGCGGCUCAACCGUAAAAUUGCAGUUGAUACUGGCAGCCUGGAGUACAGUAGAGGUAGGCGGAAUUCGUGGUGUAGCGGUGAAAUGCUGAGAGAUCACGAAGAACACCGAUUGCGAAGGCAGCCUGCUGGACUGUAACUGACGCUGAUGCUCGAAAGUGUGGGUAUCAAACAGGAUUAGAUACCCGUGUAGUC
rnacentral:rRNA from 1 species